rnacentral:rRNA from 1 species
AGUGAACGCUGGCGGUAGGCCUAACACAUGCAAGUCGAACGGCAGCACAGUAAGAGCUUGCUCUUACGGGUGGCGAGUCGCGGACGGGUGAGGAAUACAUCGGAAUCUACUUUUUCGUGGGGGAUAACGUAGGGAAACUUACGCUAAUACCGCAUACGACCUACGGGUGAAAGUAGGGGAUCUUCGGACCUUGCGCGAUUGAAUGAGCCGAUGUCGGAUUAGCUAGUUGGCGGGGUAAAGGCCCACCAAGGCGACGAUCCGUAGCUGGUCUGAGAGGAUGAUCAGCCACACUGGAACUGAGACACGGUCCAGACUCCUACGGGAGGCAGCAGUGGGGAAUAUUGGACAAUGGGCGCAAGCCUGAUCCAGCCAUACCGCGUGGGUGAAGAAGGCCUUCGGGUUGUAAAGCCCUUUUGUUGGGAAAGAAAAGCAGCAGGUUAAUACCCCGCUGUUCUGACAGUACCCAAAGAAUAAGCACCGGCUAACUUCGUG